rnacentral:rRNA from 1 species
AUGGAAUCUAUGAAGGAGUUCGCCCUCCGCCGCUUUCCGAAGCUAGGCAGAUGGUUCUGCGCCGACGCCGACGCCGGCGCCGAUCAGGCCGUUCCCAGCGAUGGCCUGCAGGCUUUCUCCCUCGGCCUGAAUAAGCGCCUCGCGCACGACGCCGGCAGGAGGAGCAACCUGGUCUUCUCGCCGCUGUCCGUCUACGCCGCGCUCUCGCUGGUAGCCGCGGGCGCCCGCGACCGCACCCUCGACGAGCUGCUCGGUGUCCUCGGCGCGCCCUCCCGGGACUUCCUCGCCGGCCACGUCCGCGCGCUGGCCGAGCAGGCCCUCGCCGACCAGUCCAAGACCGGCGGCCCGCGCGUCAGCUUCGCCUGCGGCGUGUGGCAUGACCGGACCAUGCCCAUCCGCCCCGCCUACCGCGAUGCCGCCGAGUCCUUCAAGGCCGUCGCCUGCGCCGUCAACUUCCGCCAAAAGCCGGAGGAGGCUAGGGAGGAGAUCAACGCAUGGGUGUCGGCGUCGACGGACGGCCUCAUCCCCUCCAUCCUUAGCCGGGGCGCGCUGUCAGACCUCACCGACCUGGUGCUCGCCAACGCCAUCUACUUUAAGGGCAAGUGGGCGAAGCCAUUCGCCGGGUAUCUCACCCAGCACGACAAGUUCCACCGCCUCGACGGCACCGCCGUCGAUGCCGCCUUCAUGCGCGGUCUCGGCAGCCACAGCAUCGCCUGCCACGAUGGCUUCAAGGUGCUCCAGCUCCGCUACGAGGAAGGGCACGGCCCCUUGCUGCCCCAGCCGCCGGCUCUAGCUCCCACGCCUGCGCCGAUCUACUCGAUGUGCGUCUUCCUCCCCGAUGCGCGCCGCGGGCUGUGGCGGCUCACCGACAAGAUCGCGUGCAACCCCGACUUUCUGCGCAAGCACUUGCCGAGGAACAGCGUCCUGGUCGGCGACUUCCGGCUGCCUAAAUUCAAGGUCACCUUCGACAUGACGAUGAACGACGUUCUCCAGAAGAUGGGUGUCAAGGAGGCGUUCGAGCUGGGAAAGGCAGACCUGUCCGACAUGGUGGAGGACGGCGGAAGGAGGAAGAUGGCGCUGGAAAAGGUGAUCCACAGGGCCGUCAUCGAGGUGAACGAGGAAGGCACAGAGGCGGCGGCCGCCACUUGCAUGACGCGCCUUGGAUGCACACCGGACUCGCGGCCGCCUGCACCGUGUGUGGACUUCGUGGCUGACCAUCCAUUUGCCUUCUUCAUCGUCGAGGAGGUGUCAGGCGCCAUUCUGUUCGCGGGGCACGUCCUUGAUCCCACCAUCAAGUGA